GCCUUCGUGGUGUAGUGGUCAGCACGCUCGACGAGACUCUAACAGAGAGGUCCGUGGUUCGAUUCCCGGCGAAGGCG
rnacentral:tRNA from 1 species